AGAGUUUGAUCAUGGCUCAGAAUGAACGUUGGCGGCGUGGAUUAGGCAUGCAAGUCGAGCGAGAAGCCUCCUUCGGGAGGUGGAAAGCGGCGAACGGGAGAGUAACGCGUGGAGUAUCUACCCUCGGGUCUGGGAUAGCUGCGGGAAACUGCAGGUAAUACCGGAUAACGUCUCCGGACCAAAGGUGUGAUUCCGCCUGAGGACGGCUCCGCGUCCUAUUAGCUUGUUGGUGGGGUAACGGCCUACCAAGGCUGCGAUGGGUACCGGGUGUGAGAGCAUGACCCGGCUCACUGGGACUGAGACACUGCCCAGACACCUAAGGUGGCUGCAGUCGAGAAUCUUCGGCAAUGGGCGCAAGCCCGACCGAGCGACGCCGCGUGCGGGAUGAAGGCUUUCGGGUUGUAAACCGCUGUCAGAGGGGAUGAAAUGCCGGUGGGUUAUCCUGCCGGUUUGACAAAUCCUCAGAGGAAGUACGGGCUAAGUUCGUGCCAGCAGCCGCGGUAAGACGAACCGUACGAACGUUAUUCGGAAUCACUGGGCUUAAAGGGUGCGUAGGCGGCCCGGCAAGUUGGGUGUGAAAUCCCUCGGCUCAACCGAGGAAUUGCGCUCAAUACUGCCGGGCUGGAGGGAGACAGAGGUGAGCGGAACU
rnacentral:rRNA from 1 species